rnacentral:rRNA from 1 species
UACGUAGGUGGCGAGCGUUGUCCGGAUUUACUGGGCGUAAAGCGCGCGCAGGCGGUUGACUAAGUCUGGUGUGAAAUUUCCCGGCUUAACUGGGAAGGGUCAUUGGAAACUGGUCAGCUUGAGGAAGGUAGAGGAGAGUGGAAUUCCCGGUGUAGUGGUGGAAUGCGUAGAUAUCGGGAGGAACACCAGUGGCGAAAGCGGCUCUCUGGGCCUUUCCUGACGCUGAGGCGCGAAAGCGUGGGGAGCGAACCGG